rnacentral:rRNA from 1 species
AUUGAACGCUGGCGGCAUGCUUUACACAUGCAAGUCGAACGGUAACAGGGUGCUUGCACCGCUGACGAGUGGCGAACGGGUGAGUAAUACAUCGGAAUGUACCCAGUAAUGGGGGAUAACGCUUUGAAAGGAGUGCUAAUACCGCAUACGCCCUGAGGGGGAAAGUGGGGGACCGCAAGGCCUCACGUUAUUGGAGCAGCCGAUGGCUGAUUAGCUAGUUGGUGAGGUAAAGGCUCACCAAGGCGACGAUCAGUAGCGGGUCUUAGUGGACGAUCCGCCACACUGGAACUGAGACACGGUCCAGACUCCUACGGGAGGCAGCAGUGGGGAAUCUUGGACAAUGGGCGAAAGCCUGAUCCAGCAAUGCCGCGUGCGUGAAGAUGGCCUUCGGGUUGUAAAGCGCUUUUGUCUGGGAGCAAAUCCUGGCCUCUAAUACAGGUCGGGGAUGAGAGUACCAGAAGAAUAAGGACCGGCUAACUACGUGCCAGCCGCCGCGGUAA